rnacentral:rRNA from 1 species
UAGCAUACUCAUUUGACGUUAGCUGCAGAAGAAGCACCGGCUAACUCCGUGCCAGCAGCCGCGGUAAUACGGAGGGUGCGAGCGUUAAUCGGAAUUACUGGGCGUAAAGCGCAUGCAGGUGUUGUAAGUCAGAUGUGAAAGCCCGGGGCUCAACCUCGGAAUUGCAUUGAAACUGGCAAACUAGAGGUACUGUAGAGGGGGUAGAAUUUCAGGUGUAGCGGUGAAAUGCGUAGAGAUCUGAAGGAAUACCGGUGGCGAAGGCGGCCCCCUGGACAGAUACUGACACUCAGAUGCGAAAGCGUGGGGAAGCUAAACCAGGAUUAGAUACCCUCGGUAG